rnacentral:lncRNA from 1 species
AUGAUGGCAAAGUCCGCAGUGACGCCUCUCUGCUGGUUCAACACACACUUACUGAGCUCUAACGCGGGGCGGGGGGGAAGAGGGGGGCUAUCAGAGGCGGCGCUUGCUGCCUCAUUCUUAGAGCAAGCCUGGUUUCACAGCCCCUCCUGCUUCCACAAGGGCUUUUUCCACAGCAACGUGCAGGCCUGUGUCUCCUCUCCUGCCUGUUCACGGGAGCGCAGGAAUCCCACGUGCAGGCCACACCUCCAGGAUUGGAGAUUGCUUUUCAACAUGAGAUUUGGAUGUGGACACAGAUCCAAACUACAUCACCUACCUCAAGUGUGA